AUGGUCGUCCGAACGCACCCAGCUGGGGGACAACCGCGCUGUUGCCAGAUUUACAUCUUUUCUUUUAGCGGGAAUUUUAAAAUUUCUAAUGCGAAUUGGUUUAAAAUUUGACAUCCGAAUCUUAACCUUACUUUUGUGAUUAUUUAUUUACAAAUAUGUAAAUAAAUUGAAACAAGUAUUGUAUGUACUGUGUUAUAAUUUAAAACGCUUAAUUAUGUUAGUCUUACAAAAAUUAAGCUCAAAAAGAUAUACUUGUUUACAGUGCAAAUUAAUGGCAAUAGGGAUUUAUGAUUUCAUUUGCAGGAAAAACAUGGGCAACCUACCCAGUUGGUAAAAUUUCAAUUCAAAAACUCUUUAGAUUUUACUGUGUGGAUGGCACAGGAAGAGAAACAAAAUAAUAUUCAGUACUGCAGUCGCAGGAGUACAAAAACAUGAAGCAUCUCAUUAUGUAUGUAUGCCACUCUCAAACAAUAAUUAUUGUACAAAACAAGAUAGACACAGCUUUAAAAUCCCAAGGAUCCUGCGAAAAGAAAAGUGAAAAUGGUGUCUCAAUUAAUGUAGUAUAGAUAGACACUUUUCUUCAUUUUAGUAGUAAAUAAUUAUAUAAUUAUUUAGAAUAUUAAUAUGUAUUAGUUUUAAUAGUAUUAAUAUGUAUUGUAUGAAUAAUUUCCAUCAUGUAUCUGCUGGCUAAAGCAACAAAAUAAAUAAAAAUGAAAAAACAUUUCAGUGA